rnacentral:rRNA from 1 species
GAAGGUCCCCCACAUUGGAACUGAGACACGGUCCAAACUCCUACGGGAGGCAGCAGUGAGGAAUAUUGGUCAAUGGGCGGAAGCCUGAACCAGCCAAGUAGCGUGCAGGAUGACGGCCCUAUGGGUUGUAAACUGCUUUUAUACAGGAAUAAAGUUAGCCACGUGUGGUUAUUUGUAGGUACUGUAUGAAUAAGGACCGGCUAAUUCCGUGCCAGCAGCCGCGGUAAUACGGAAGGUCCAGGCGUUAUCCGGAUUUAUUGGGUUUAAAGGGAGCGUAGGCCGUCUGUUAAGCGUGUUGUGAAAUGUAGAUGCUCAACAUCUGAAUUGCAGCGCGAACUGGCAGACUUGAGUGUGCGCAACGUAGGCGGAAUUCGUGGUGUAGCGGUGAAAUGCUUAGAUAUCACGAAGAACUCCGAUUGA